UACGGGGGGGGCAAGCGUUGUUCGGAAUUACUGGGCGUAAAGGGCUCGUAGGCGGCCAACUAAGUCGGACGUGAAAUCCCUCAGCUUAACUGGGGAACUGCGUCCGAUACUGGAUGGCUUGGAUUUGGGAGAGGGAUGCGGAAUUCCAGGUGUAGCGGUGAAAUGCGUAGAUAUCAGGAAGAACACCCGUGGCUAAGGCGGCUCUCUAGUACGGUACUGACGCUGAGACGCGAAAGCGUGGGGAGCGAACAGG
rnacentral:rRNA from 1 species